rnacentral:rRNA from 1 species
CAGUCGCGCGGGAAAACGUAGGUGGCAAGCGUUGUCCGGAAUUAUUGGGCGUAAAGGGCUCGCAGGCGGUUUCUUAAGUCUGAUGUGAAAGCCCCCGGCUCAACCGGGGAGGGUCAUUGGAAACUGGGAAACUUGAGUGCAGAAGAGGAGAGUGGAAUUCCACGUGUAGCGGUGAAAUGCGUAGAGAUGUGGAGGAACACUAGUGGCGAAGGCGACUCUCUGGUCUGUAACUGACGCUGAGGAGCGAAAGCGUGGGGAGCGAACAAGAUUAGAUACCCCAGUAGUCCCUGUCUCUUAUACA